ACCGGUCCGCCCGUACGGCGACUCGAGGCUCACCGCCUAGGUCAUACCAUACGUUUCGUCUCUCAGGAUUUCGAAGAACAUUGAGCAUGGAGAAUGCGGUGCUAACUUGUGCUGACAGGACUUCAUGUGAAUUCUCCAAAGUUUUUCUGACAAACAGAGGUUACUCCCGGCCACCAAGACCGGGCUUGACCAUCGUGGUUCCUCGGGUUGUGGCAGGGCGGACGCCCCGACUAUCCCUAAGACCAUCCGUCUCCC
rnacentral:lncRNA from 1 species